UACAGAGGGGGCAAGCGUUGUCCGGAAUUAUUGGGCGUAAAGAGCUCGUAGGCGGUCUGUCACGUCGGCUGUGAAAACCCGAGGCUCAACCUCGGGCCUGCAGUCGAUACGGGCAGACUAGAGUGCGGUAGAGGGUAGUGGAAUUCCCGGUGUAGCGGUGAAAUGCGUAGAGAUCGGGAGGAACACCAGUGGCGAAGGCGGCUACCUGGACCAGCACUGACACUGAGGCACGAAAGCGUGGGGAGCAAACAGG
rnacentral:rRNA from 1 species